UACGCAGGGUGCAAGCGUUGUCCGGAAUUAUUGGGCGUAAAGAGCUCGUAGGCGGUUUGUCGCGUCUGCUGUGAAAACUCGGGGCUUAACUCCGGGCCUGCAGUGGGUACGGGCAGACUAGAGUGCGGUAGGGGAGACUGGAAUUCCUGGUGUAGCGGUGGAAUGCGCAGAUAUCAGGAGGAACACCGGUGGCGAAGGCGGGUCUCUGGGCCGUAACUGACGCUGAGGAGCGAAAGCGUGGGGAGCGAACAGG
rnacentral:rRNA from 1 species